CAAGUGGGGCAGCGGCAGCCGCCACCCGUGACGAGCGCAGAUCUUAUCGGCAGAAGGAAGUACUGAGCUGCUGGGCUGCUCUUCUCUGAAGCCACCGGAUUUACCAGGUCUCCAAAAUGACCAAUUUUGCCAAGGAUGCAGCUCACUGGCAUUUUCUCAGAGGCAGUGGUAACUACCAUUAUCACAACAGGAGCUGUGCAAACCUGACUUUUGCUUUGCUGAAGACCUCCAGGUAAAAGGAAAACCCCUGCGUACGCCUGGAAAUCACAUCAGUGAUUCAAUAGGUGACAUUCUUCUGAGUGACAUGUGACUGGUGAGGUGCAAGAUUGCUUUGUUCUUCGCAAGACUCAUCCAAGUCAUUGGACAGUGAAUAUUAUCAUGUCCUUUUGGAAGAUCAUGGCUUCGUCUCAUCUUCACCUUGAUAAAAAAGCAAGGAACAAAGUUGGACAAGCAAUGUGGGAACCAGAAGCCGCAAUUGCGUUGGCCAUGCCUCAUUGAGCAAAACUGGCAAAAUCCAGUGUGACUUGGAAGAAAAGGCUAGGAAUUGCAGAAAAAGGUGUAUCAAUACCAAUGUCCACAAGAUCAAAAGCUUAUCAGUUAGGAAUGAGUUCAACACCACCUAGGAGCCAGAGAGACUUGGUGCUUUUUGUUGGCUUUUUUUUUUUUCUCCGAAAACAGUUUUUUCUGGGAAACCACCUGCCUGAAUCCUGACAAUUUUUUUUCAUUUAUAUUUCAAGAGAAAUUUCUGUUUAUAUUGCCUUAUGCUAAGUUUAUGAUACAUCUCCCUGGAGCAAUAUAUCUUACACCAAUGUAUGUUUUCAGAAUUUAGUUGAUUCAUGAUAUCUGAAAUAACUUGCUUUAGCCUUUUUGUUUAAAAAAAAACAGCUAGAGUUUUUCUUGUCAUAACUUGUAUUAACUAUUUAAAUGUGUGUUAGAUAAAAGAAUAUGAAGACCUUGCUAGUCACCCUAGGAUCUAAUGUACGUAUAUGCUUCUUUACUGAGAGCUUGUUCUGCAGCUUAUCUGUGCACGCUCUGUCACACAAUAAUGUGGUAUCAUCAGGGUGAUUCUAGUGCCCGUUUUAUGAGACAUUACUGAAGAGAAAUGAGGACAAUGUGCUGAGAUUAUCUUCCCUUUUUAACUCCAGUUUGAAAGUGAAGUUUUGUGCAGGAAACCUACACUGAUAUUCUUAGGUUCCUUGCUGAAAUAUCCAGAAAGGUAAUGUGCUGCUAUAUCCAAGACCAGUCCUAUGGAUUUUUCAGGAAGUGGAUGUACAGCUUUGCAUCCCUUAAGAACAUGCCAGAUAAAGGAUUUGUAGAGCAUUUCCAAUGAUAUAGGAGUCUGUCAGACAGUCAAGGCAAUCAGAAUGCCUGUGAUUCACUGUAUGGUUCUCUCACACACGAAGUAAUAGAUGAAACCAGACAGCCUACACAUCUAAGGAAUACUUUUCGGGAAAUGACAAGGAAAACCAAUGGGGAAAAAAUCAGGGAAAGAUAUCUUUACCAGCCUAGCUAACUAAAAAGUCCAAAUAUAGUUACAAGAGUUAGGAAAGUACAAUAAUGUCAAAACUGAAGCUCCAUAGAAGCAACCCACCCUUUAUCCUUGCCGCAUUGCGUGAGGGGUGAAGAAAUGUUUCAAAACUUUCCAAGCUCUUGCACAUGAGGAAUGACACACUCACAGCAGAACGAUCCCUUGACUAGAACUGGGUUUGCACUGUGUUGGCACAGAAUCAUUAACUUUCAACUCAAGCUUUCUUCUUGGUUAAGAGUUUGCAGAACAAGAACUCUUGUACUGUAAAUUUCUCAGAUGUGACCCAAAAUGAACUCAUUUCUGAGAGUAGGCUCUUCUACUCUGACAACACUGGGUGGCAUUGUGCAAUAUGUAUACAUUCUAAAGUAAUAGAAUAUCUAUUCAGAUUUUUAAAAGUUUAUUGUCUUCUGCCCUUCCAGCCCUCAGAUUGUAAAAAUACUGGAACUCAUAGCUAGUUUGGAUACACACACUUGUGCAGCAGUUUUAGCUCCUGAGCACACAGAUGGACAUGAUGUCUUUAUUUCUACCUCUCAAAGGAAGUGUUCACGUCUUUGUGUAUAAUUAGCUCCACUGUGAACAAGUCCUGAGAAGGAAAAGGCCUGGUUAUCUUGUUAGACUUGUGGUUCAGCAGGGUAGGGGUGUAGUGAGGUAGAAGAGAGGGUUUUGCACUUAGUCAUAAGUGGUGCUGGAGGCAACUAAAAUCAUGAGUAUGGGCUGGCUGUGUGUGGGAUACCAUUACCAGCAGAGAAGGAGAGAUUCACAGCCCAAGAAUGGUUUCAGAGAAAUGCCGCAGGGUGGAAAUUCCAUUCCCUUUUGAGCUCUGGACCAAGGGGCUCGUUUCCCAUUAGGGAACAAGAAAGAAGAUGAAAAAUUAAUUUCUGUGCAGAGAAACAACACCCAUGUGUCAGAUGACACAACUAGUCACAGAUGUUAAUGACAUUCCUGAUGAUAAGAGUGAAAUUCUGUUUUCCUUUCAGUUAUUUGGUAUUUUAUAGUAUCUAGCGAGUAAGCUUUGGCAUGAAAUGCUACAGAAGAGGCACAUAAGCAAGUUCAGUAUAAACACCUAUAUUUAAGGAAAUCAAUUUAGUUGAUAUCUAAAUAAUUUGAUAAACAAAUUAGAAAUAAAAUUAGAUGACUUAGCUGUCUUUUACUGUUAUCUCUGUGGUUUUACCUCAUCUAAUUUUAACAUUUGUUUCUCCUCUGUUGUUGUCUAAAGUACAACAUAAUUGGUAGGACCCACAAUAAAGACAAGCAGCUAUUUAAGUUGUAAGCUCUUUUUAAUAGGAUGCUAUUUCUUAGGAAACAGGGCUUAAAAAUCUUUUUAAUUAAAGAAGGAGGAAAGAAUACUGAUAAACUAGAGCUCUGGUCCUGUAACAGUAACAUAUAUUAGUUGUUUUAUUUGCAUUAUUUGACUACAUACAAAAUUUGUAAUGGUAAGAAUAUAUAAAACUACAUCUCCACCUGUCUAUAUAAAACUACAUCUUCACUCCAUCACAACUACACAUGUAAUGAUGUUGAUGCAAAGAUACUUGCACAAAAAUAUAUUGUUUAUUAUAAUACUGUACAGGUUUAAUUGAUUUGAUAAAGAGUAAUUGGAGCCAUACUGGAAAUGGCUAACUUCCCAUAAAAUAGCAAAAUGUUUGAAAUGCUGUGCCUUCUCAUCACAAGAUCCUCAGGGCAGGGGCUUUCCUUAUUUAUGUUUGUACAGAUUUUAUUUAGGAAAAUGAAGCAGAAUUAUUUCCACUCUCAGUUGUAGGCCCCCAAUUUGACAGAAUGACAGAAGGAAGGGACUUCUGUGGGGCUGUUCAGACCAUCUGUGUCAGAAGUCAAGCUGCUGCCCCAUUUUAGGUAGUCUGAAUUGCUUUACAGAAGAUUCCCAUCUUUCCCCAUUAAUAUAUAUAAUUUACGAAGCCUGCUCACCUGUAUAGAAACUUAAUGUAUCUGCAUAUAAAUUGGACACUACUAUUAAAAUUUCUUUCUGAAAGACCAAGAAAGUAUAGGUAUGCACUUCACAGGCAUGAAAUAAUAAAAGCCACUGCAUCAUUUUUACUCUACUGUAUUUAUUUGCAAUUGAACCUAGUCUUGUACAUUCUCUUAGUGCUGUCCUCCAUAUGUACGUUUAGAUGGCUGAGAAUAUAAACACAUUACCUUAGUUCUUCUUUUAAAAUCUGACACAACAUUAAUGAUUCACUUUUCUACAUAAACCCUUCCCUACCCCCCCCCCCCCCCACCCCCCCCAAAGAAAGAAGUGGAAUUUGGAAACAUAGGAUUAGAAAUUACUUUUUGAGUCACUCAGUCUAGUUCCCUUUUAUAGGCAGCCAUGAAAUCUCUUUUGUAAAGUAGUAAGGUGCUAUCCUAAAGCCAGUGAGGUUAUUUACCCCAUUACGCCUCUUGUGAGGCUAUUUUGGAACCUUAGCUUCCUGAUGGUUGGAAAUUUUCUUCUAGUUUACAAUCUAAAUAUGUCCAUUCCACAUAUCUGCUUGUGUCUUGACUAUCAUUAGCCUUAGUCUAAAUAAUAUCUUACUUCACCUCUGAAGGGUUUCUCUAACUAAUCCCUUUCUAGAGAAUUGAAUUUGUUCUUUUUUUCCACACAAGCCAAUUCUUUUAGUCUCCCCUUGCAAUACAUGGUCUUUAUUCCUUUCAUCAUCCUAGGAGCUCUUUGGAUUGUCCUGUCAGAAAAGUAUAAAUAAUUUCCAAUAGUAGCAAGAUUCAAAGGGUAAGAUAGGAAGCCAGGCUUUUUUUAAUCUGUCUAAAAAAAACCCCAACAAAAUAUUUAUACCAGUCUUGCUGCCAACCCUUAGUUUUGUAGAAGGAUGGAUUUUCACAACAGUGGCACAGUGGGAUAUUUUGAACUUCUAGAAGGAAAGCUGCUAUACAAAAAGUAUAUGAGGAAUUUAUUUGUUAUAGUGAAACCUUCAUGAUGAGAAAACAUUUGCAAUAGAACUGAAUGAAGAUCCGAAUUUAUCCCUGCUUAUCGUACAAUGUGCAGAUUUACAUCACUUGACAGAGAACUCCAUCUAAGAGUUGUAUUUUUCUAGGCCAAGAAGGACUAUUCUGAAGUUCUGCUCCCACCUGGUUAAUAUAAACCAACUUACUUGACUUUACUGAUAGCAGGUGUCUAAUUUUGAUGCAUGUGAACAACCAUAUUUGUUCCAUAGCAAAAGUUAUAUAGGUAUUGAAAGGUGUGAUACAACUUCUGUAAAAUCAUGGAUGGACAAUAUUAAAGUCUACAGUUAUUUCAUUGUGAUUUUAUGAGUUCUGUUUAGCUUAAAUUGAAAUGCUUAUGUAUGUGUACGCAUAAAAAUAUAUAUUUAUAUAAAUUUAAAGAAAAACAUUUUUUUAUCUUAGAACACUAUAAAGCCAGAAGGAUUUUA